rnacentral:lncRNA from 1 species
AUAUUUGGUGGCCUCAUGUGGAGAAGGAUAGUUAACAUUUCUAGUCAGCAGCUCCUUUGAACUAUGGAAGGAUGAUGAUGCUGGACUGAGAUGGUGAGGUCAGGUGUCAACAGAAAAUAGCUUUGACGUGGCCCCAGUGGAAUGUCUGAGGGAUGCAGGGCUGCAUCGGAUGGGCCUCGGCCUGCCUGGAUGAGUCAGCUGCAAAAUGUGGCCCCAAUGGGGGGGCUCAACUAUCCCAGGGAGCAGGUCCACCUGGUCCCCUGAUUCCCCAUCAGAAUGAAACUCCAGCCUGUAAACCCCAGAAUCCAUAUGGUAGAAUACCUGAUACCUCCUAAUGCAGUUACCUGAAAGUGACUUCUCACCUACCUGGAGCUCUGCCAAUCACCUGCCCCACCCCUGCUCAGACAGACACCCUAGAGCUGGGGAGGACAUGGUGAAGUGGAAAAAUCACUGGAGUUGGUAGAAGCUUAGCUCUGAUACUAAUUGGGCCAGUCAGCCUCUCUGAGCCUCAGUUUCCUGCUCUGAAUAAUGCAAAUAACAGCAUCAAUGUCCUCUUACUCAAGGGAUGGUUAUGGAAAAUAACACUUAAAGAGCAAAAGAAAUGUGUAGUAUUAUUAUUUCCCUGGACCUUGGGCAAAUGAUAAAUCAUCC